UGGGGAAUAUUGGGCAAUGGAGGAAACUCUGACCCAGCGACGCCGCGUGCGGGAUGAAGGCCUUCGGGUUGUAAACCGCUUUCAGCAGGGAAGAAGCGAAAGUGACGGUACCUGAAGAAGAAGCACCGGCUAACUACGUGCCAGCAGCCGCGGUAAUACGUAGGGUGCAAGCGUUGUCCGGAUUUAUUGGGCGUAAAGAGCUCGUAGGCGGUUAGACACGUCGGAUGUGAAAACUGGGGGCUCAACUCC
rnacentral:rRNA from 1 species